UUAAAUUUAAAUUUUUUUUUCGAUUAAAUGAUAAAUCAUUUUAGUUAAAUACAUUCAGUUAUUUUGAUUUACAGAUCAAAAUAAAGUAUAUCCUGCUGAUUUAUUGACCAAGAUAAAGUUCCUCCUGCUGAUUCACGGACCAAGAUAAAGUUCCUCCUGCUGAUUCACGGACCAAGAUAAAGAACAUCCUGCUGAUUCACAGACCAAGAUAAUGUUCCUCCUGCUGAUUCACAGACAAAGAUAAAGUUCCUCCUGCUGAUUUACAGACACUUUUAUGGGCUGCUACUUGUGAUUAAGAACUGACUUCAAAUGAUAGCAAGAGGAUGAUUUAAGCAUACAUAACUAAACUGGAAGAACAGAUGGUCCAAAACGCUAAAGCAACAGACAACCCAGAUGAAAAAAAAGUAGGCUACAUCCUGCUGAUUCACAGACCCUAACCCUAAUACCGGUGAAGAUAGAGAGUAAGCUACAUCCUAUUACUCUAGAAAAAGAACAGUCUACAGAUGAAUGUAACUAGCUCCUUUGGGCUUGAAAACUUGAUAUAUCAAAAAAUAUGCAGCAAGUCAGUCUCUCAAGUUAUUUGAAUAGAUCAAGUAGUGGAACAUACAGAUGGAGUAACAGGCAAGAAGUAGAGAUACCAAGAACUGUGCAAUCAAGUUGCAGAGCACAAUCGAUCUUUAGCAUACAGCAUACAGUUGAAUGGAACAAUUAUCUACUUAGAAAUGUCAAACUAUAGAAGCUACAUUUGUUGUUUUUUUCCUUUAAGGCAAGUAGUCUUUUAAAUUAAUGAUAAUUAUCUAUAA